UGCUUUGCGCAGUUGGUGAUAUCGUAAACAAUGAGGUUUUACCGAGGUGCGACUAUUACUAGAAGGAAAAUGUUUCAGAAGACACUGUAAAAUUAUCUCGAGCUGUAUUGUUGUUAGAAAUUUUUUUUAAAGCGUCCAUU